AUUGAACGCUGGCGGCAGGCUUAACACAUGCAAGUCGAGCGGGGUGAUGGUGCUUGCACUAUCACUUAGCGGCGGACGGGUGAGUAAUGCUUAGGAAUCUGCCUAUUAGUGGGGGACAACAUCUCGAAGGGGAUGCUAAUACCGCAUACGUCCUACGGGAGAAAGCAGGGGAUCACUUGUGACCUUGCGCUAAUAGAUGAGCCUAAGUCGGAUUAGCUAGUUGGUGGGGUAAAAGCCUACCAAGGCGACGAUCUGUAGCGGGUCUGAGAGGAUGAUCCGCCACACUGGGACUGAGGCACGGCCCAGACUCCUACGGGAGGCAGCAGUGGGGAAUAUUGGACAAUGGGGGGAACCCUGAUCCAGCCAUGCCGCGUGUGUGAAGAAGGCCUUAUGGUUGUAAAGCACUUUAAGCGAGGAGGAGGCUCUUUUGGUUAAUACCCAAGAUGAGUGGACGUUACUCGCAGAAUAAGCACCGGCUAACUCUGUGCCAGCCGCCGCCGUAA
rnacentral:rRNA from 1 species